UUUCUCUCUCGCUCUCUAAGCUCUCUUGUCUCUCUCACUUACUCCGCCAGUCUGUCACUCUCGAUUCCCUUCGCUCUCUCUCCGCGUCUUUUGUGUACCCCACUCGACCCCCACAGCUUAAUCUUGUCCCAUUCUUGUCAAUUUAAGAUGAAAAUUUUUUUUUACUAAAAAUAUAUGAUCAUUUUGUGACUAAAAAAAGCCUAAACAUGGUCAUUUUUGCUAAUACGGUCACGGUCAUUAAAAAAAAAAAGUAUAUUUAUUUUUGUUAUUUUAUUAUUUAUUUUUUAUUAUUCAUGUUUUUUUUAUUUAUAUCUAUGUAUCAGUCAAGCACCUCUUUCGCCCCGGGAUAGAAAAAAAUCCUAAAGCCGCCCGUGCCUGCCAGAGUGUAUUCAUCAGUGAAUGUUGAUGAUUGUCUAAGUAGAACCGAGAUGCCAUCGUUUUGUCGCUGGGCCCAAAUCACCUCAUCCAGAAUCAAGUGCCACAUAAAGAAAUAUUAAAGGAAGCAAGUCAGUUUGAUUUUCACCGUAUUGUUUAUUGCACAUAAAACAAGCAGAAUUAAUAUUUAAACUUAAAGUCUAAUUUUAUAAUACAUACUACCAGUGGGACAUUUUUUGUGCUCCCUGAAAUUUCCUAAGAUGGAAUUGAUAUCAAGGAAGUACGACAAAGUAGCACAUCUUGACUGAGUGUCAAGAUCUGUCACAGUUCGCUUCCUUGUUUUAAUGUUGUCAUACUUUCGGUUGGCGUGUCUGUGUGCUCGCCCCUCCCCUCCUGUGCCCUGAUCAGUGUGAUCACCCUCACCCUGUUUGCGUCGCAUGUCUUCUUGUUCCGUGUUUCUCUCGUCGCUUGUCUGUUCUCGUCUUGUUUGCUCUUUCUGUUCAGUUCUUCUCGUCCCAAGUCGAGGGACUUUUGAGUUCCUUCACUAAACCCUGGUCCAAGCUGCAUUUGGUCGCCCAGCUCCAUUCAUGACACCGAGAAACAAGCGUUGCAUGUUGACCUGUUAAUGCGCGUCUCCCGCCUGCGUCGGUGAGCGGUCGCCAUCGUCUUCUUCUGCCCAGGAUCCCGCGGUGAAACCCGCCGGAGCCGAGACAGAGUGCGGGGCCACGGUGUGUCCGAGGCCUUGGUAGCGACCGGUUGAAGAAGGCGAGGUGGGCACGGAAGCGGGCGCGGCAUCCUGAGACAGCAGCCCGGUGUGUUCGCUGUGCUCGGGUCGGGCGGCCGCGCCAAAGUACAUCUUGUUGGGUCGGCCCAGGAAGGUGCGGCCUAAGGGACGAAAAGAUUCGGCUUUUCUUUUGGGUUCUCGUUUGAACGGCGGCAGACGGGAAGGACGGGCGCUCACCAACGUGGCGGGCCUGCUCGGUGACGUCGGCCCUGAUGUCCGAGAAGUCCCACAUGGCCAGAAAGCUAUCCAAGCACGUUCCUUCCUCUGCCUCCUAAAUGUUUCACCCACAGUUAGUGUGUGUGUGUGCGCGUGUGUGUGUGUGUGCACGCACCUGUAUGUAGGGCUUGUGAGUGAAGGUGUAAUGGUGCGCAAUGGCCGCCAGGAACAUUUCUAUGCAGAUGAUGAAGUCCUGGAUUGUGGGUGAAAUACACAACAGCAUUGCGAUCAUAAAUUCAAGUUUGUUGUCUUGUCUGUGCUCACCUGCAGUCCAGUGGCCACCGCCUCCACGCUGGCCCAGUCCCAUGUACGUUUCUCCGAGAUGACGCCCACCUUCACCAGGAACGCGAUCAACACCGCCUGCCUGGACCAACAUCCCGAUGACAUCAGGUGCUGUGUGAAAUCUAAAAUCUGACUCGAAAGUCGACGUUAAUACCAGAAGGAGACGAAGACCACCAGUUUGACGCAGAGGAACUUGCCCACGGGUCUGAUGGGGGUCAGCUCCUCUUUUAGCGCUCGGUAGAGCAACACCAGGCAGUACAUGGCAAACUACACACAUACAGUUUUAUCCAAGACUUAAUCCUUCAAAUCCAAAAAUCAUUUCUUUACCAGCUGCGAUAUAUUGUUGAUGAUGACCAGGUAGGACCAAGCGUUGCGAAAGCUGAAGUUGGCUUCGUCGUAAACUCCACACAGCUGACAGACCCUGAGGGACACCCAGGAAGUGAAUCACGUGUUUUGUCACCGAGUUGUCGUCACGGUUGGUCGUGCGUCGCCAUGGUUUCCGUAACCAUUCUGCGGUGUCGCCGCCGCAGUGGUAACAAAUCAUGCUGUGUUGUUGCCAUUGGGUCUACUUGAAUUAUGUUCUCCCGUCACCAUGACAACGGACUAAAUGGGAACCUCUUGACAUGUUGCUUUGUAAAGUAAAUGCAGUCAAAUAAAACUGAGAAAAGUAAA